rfam:Armatimonadetes bacterium RBG_19FT_COMBO_69_19 rbg_19ft_combo_scaffold_5837, whole genome shotgun sequence.
UCGCGAAAGGGCAAACCCAGGGCGACCUGGGGGCGCAAAGCUUCGGAGCCAUCCGAUCUGGAGGGCUGGCCGGGCUGCCGAAC